rnacentral:rRNA from 7 species
UCAGGUAGGGAUACCCGCUGAACUUAAGCAUAUCA